UAAUAAGUGUUUUAUGGCACUUUUUUAAAUCCAUAUCCACCUUGUGUGCAAUGUCAGGGUUGAUUUUUCUCUCGAGAGGAUCAACCCCAAACAUCAACUAUUAUCUCAACUCUUUGUCUGAAAAAUAUUAUGAAUAAAACAAUUCAAAAUA
rnacentral:misc_RNA from 1 species